UUUGGUGACAUAAGCAGUUCUUUGCACAGUCCAUGAAAAGAUAGAAACAGUCCAUGUAAUCCUGUCAAAAAGAAGUGAUCAAAGUCACUGCAAGUGGCUAGCAUUUAAAUGAGUAACAGCAUAGAAAUGAGUUACUUUUCAGAGCAUUAGAAAAUGAACUAAUAGCAGAGCUCUCAUGUACCACGUAUUUUAUUCCUUAAGGCCUAUCUGAGUGAUAGCUAAUCAUACUGCCAGGCAGAAAUGGAAGGCCGCAUUCACUUGGAGGUCAGAAUGAGAAGUACCAGAAUUGUUACAGAGGAAAGAUAGUCAUCCAGACACAAGACAUCUCCCCCCUGGUCUUCAACUGCCCCAUGGGAUUGUCCCAGAGAGUUUUAAAAGUGCAGCAUCAGUUCCAGACUGAUAUCUCUCUGAAGGAAAAGGCUGUGCUACUAGGUCCUGAAAAACUGAACAGAUCAUUCACAAAAAUAAACAUCUUGCUAAAUCAGAAAUUGAAAACCUCCUUUGCUUCGCAGCCAAAUCCUACCAAGACCUUGUGUGGGAGAUUAUCACAGCAGAUAUGUCAAAGGCCAUCAUGAAUGCCAAAUUUAACAUCCAUGCUAACAAGAAUGUCUUCAUGCAUCCUCUCCCUGCUUGGCACUCCUGUUUGCUGUCUUUUCUUUCUUAACGAGAUGAUAAACUUUGAAAA
rnacentral:lncRNA from 1 species